AACGAACGCUGGCGGCAUGCCUAACACAUGCAAGUCGAACGAGGCCUUCGGGUCUAGUGGCGCACGGGUGCGUAACGCGUGGGAACCUGCCCUUAGGUUCGGAAUAACUCCCCGAAAGGGGUGCUAAUACCGGAUAAUGUCUUCGGACCAAAGAUUUAUCGCCUUUGGAUGGGCCCGCGUUGGAUUAGCUAGUUGGUAGGGUAAAAGCCUACCAAGGCGACGAUCCAUAGCUGGUCUGAGAGGAUGAUCAGCCACACUGGGACUGAGACACGGCCCAGACUCCUACGGGAGGCAGCAGUGGGGAAUAUUGGACAAUGGGCGAAAGCCUGAUCCAGCAAUGCCGCGUGAGUGAUGAAGGCCUUAGGGUUGUAAAGCUCUUUUAACCGGGAUGAUAAUGACAGUACCGGGAGAAUAAGCUCCGGCUAACUCCGUG
rnacentral:rRNA from 1 species